rnacentral:rRNA from 1 species
UCCUACGGGAGGCAGCAGUGAGGAAUAUUGGACAAUGGAGGCAACUCUGAUCCAGCCAUGCCGCGUGCAGGAAGACUGCCCUAUGGGUUGUAAACUGCUUUUAUACAGGAAGAAACUGCGCUACGUGUAGCGUACUGACGGUACUGUAAGAAUAAGGAUCGGCUAACUCCGUGCCAGCAGCCGCGGUAAUACGGAGGAUCCAAGCGUUAUCCGGAAUCAUUGGGUUUAAAGGGUCCGUAGGUGGUCUAUUAAGUCAGAGGUGAAAGCCUAUCGCUCAACGAUAGAACUGCCUUUGAUACUGAUGGACUUGAGUUAUUGUGAAGUAGUUAGAAUAUGUAGUGUAGCGGUGAAAUGCAUAGAUAUUACAUAGAAUACCGAUUGCGAAGGCAGAUUACUAACAAUAUACUGACACUGAGGGACGAAAGCGUGGGUAGCGAACAGGAUUAGAUACCCUGGUAGUCCACGCCGUAAACGAUGGUCACUAGCUGUUUGACUAACAUUGGUUAGUUGAGUGGCUAAGCGAAAGUGAUAAGUGACCCACCUGGGGAGUACGCUCGCAAGAGUGAAACUCAAAGGAAUUGACGGGGA